CAAAAUUCUCACUCGCUUUUUUGUUUGUUUGCGUGUGGCUUGACAGCCGCGGCUAGCGGUUCCUGCCGUACUAGUGCCGUUUGUUGGUGUCCAAUCCGCACACCGACUGACGUCGUUGCGUCCUCAACCUUGAUGGGCCUGUGCUGAUGAUGGUGAGGUUAAUCCUUGAUUCAUUAAAUCUGCUCUAGUCUCGUUUGAUUCGCGAAUCGCGCCAGUUCGGUUUUUAGGAAGUGUUUUGUGGUUCUGCCGUGAUUAAUCUGUGAGGAGAAGGAAAAGCAUUAUCCGUUGAUCUCUGAUCCACUGCAGGCUCGCACGCGCCUGUUCCGACAACAAAGACUGGACUGAACUAGUUGCAUGUACUGCGACUGGAUUUGUAACAGGAGGUUGGAAUCCGGAGGGCCCAGCAAUUACGGGCGGUCUCCGCUAACUGCAACAGGUCGCUCACGGAAUUUGCAAAGCACCGAAGCGAGGGGAGUUAAUAGAUCCGGUCCCUUAAGGAGCAUGGUGUUCAAUGAAAUAUCCCCGACCUUCGCCGCCGCAUCCCAAACAAGUCUAAUUUUACCCGACUUUUUGGGGUUUCUAACAGCACCCAAUGCGGUACACGAACCAAAGACACUGUAUCAUUACGGGCGACGGUGACGUUCGAGGCUUGACACUUGUAGACAGGGUUGGACUGCCGAGGAGUUGUUACUGAUGAUCCCGCCAGUGCUGCCAGUGGACGUAACAGUAUAAAUAUAAUAAAAUAAUAAAUACUGCAAUAUAAUUUUAAUAUGAUGUUCAUUGUCAAGCAAGAAAACAGGAAGUAAAAGCAAAUAAAGUUAGUUUUUGGUAAA